UACGAAGGGGGCUAGCGUUGCUCGGAAUCACUGGGCGUAAAGGGCGCGUAGGCGGACACUUAAGUCAGGGGUGAAAUCCCAAGGCUCAACCUUGGAAUUGCCUUUGAUACUGGGUGUCUUGAGACCGGUAGAGGUAAGCGGAACUGCGAGUGUAGAGGUGAAAUUCGUAGAUAUUCGCAAGAACACCAGUGGCGAAGGCGGCUUACUGGACCGGUUCUGACGCUGAGGCGCGAAAGCGUGGGGAGCAAAC
rnacentral:rRNA from 1 species